rnacentral:lncRNA from 1 species
AUGGAGCUGGUGGCAGGAAGUGUGGUCCACAGAGGACAGAGGAUGGAGGGAGUUAUCAGUAGGUUAUGCUCCUCCAGUCCUGGACAGCAGGGGAGAGUGAUGGGCCUGGAGGGGUCGUCCCCUCACCCUUCUCCACCUCUCCAUCCCCUUAGGAGGUCUGGGCCACCCCAGCCUGGUCCACUCUCCCCAGGUCCCCAGCUGCCUGGUCCAGGCAGCCGCCCGCUCCUGCCUGGACAACUGCAGAGGCCUCACUGUGCAGCAGGAGACCAUCACACACCCAUGUCACAUCGUCCUCAGAAGAGCCAGCAGAAAACCAGCUCCACUUCGAAUCAUUGCAGCCUCAGCCCUGGCAGGUGCAUCUCACCUCAGCCCCGGGAACCAGUGAUGCUCUCACCUGGCCUGGCAGCUCCUCGAGGGAUGCCCCAUGUGCUGGGGCUUUCACGGGCUGGUACCAUCUGAGUGCUUUCCAUGAAAGACCCACUCGACCUGCAGGACCUCAGUGAGGCAGGUUUAUCACUGCCUUGUUUACAGACAGGACACUGAGACAUUCAGCCCCUGCCCUAGGAACACAGCCAGUGAGUGAAGGUGAAAAGUGAGCCUUGGCUUUACUCCUGUAACCUUUAAAGUUCAGAUACUAUUUUCCCAAACUAUUUGUCAUAAAAGAUAAAUAGUUUAGGUCAAAGGCCCCUCAAAACUUGUUACCUUUUAGAAAAAUGAAAAAUAAAAAUUCAGGUAAAGAAACGCUGCUUUCUCGGGCUCUGAAUGUGUACUUUUCUCAACAGAGAUGGGGGCUGGAGGUCAGUUGCAAUAAUUAAUUAAGUAAAGCCUCAGAAUCCCAGAAAAAAAAUUAAGCCAGGUACUUUAUGCUAGAUGUAAAAAUAAAUCCUGGUGCAAAACCAGAGUAGGAAUAAAGGAUUGGCUGUUAAUGUUCAUGUAAUCAACUAUAUC